rnacentral:lncRNA from 1 species
GUAGCAGCUGACGCAGUUCAUUGUUAGGCGAGAGGCCAACUCCGGCUGGGUCAAGCUUUCCAACUGCAAGGAUCAAUUCAAGGAUAAGUAAUCUGUUGAACCUGCACUUCGAUUCAAUAUCUAACUUACACGGCAGCAGAAUCGUUAUAGCUGAAUACAGAUGUGUCCGUGAAGGUGUUACACAGGACCAUGGACUGGACUCGUGGGCAAUGAGAAUUGACUUCUGCAAAUUUUUGCGCGAGGAAACCACCUAGAUAUGAAAACAAAAAUCUGUAUUGCGGCAGCAUGAUUAUUUCGUAGUCAUAUGUUUAUGAUCCGGUUCGUAUUUAUUCGUCGAGUUGUCUGGCAAUAAUAAUAUGCUCGUAUACAGAUGGGUGGAAGUAACAUGAAAGGAAUGCAGUCUCUGGUUGGAUAAAAAAAUACAGCGAGUAGAUAACAAGAAAUUGGGGCUGGGCGCCAAGACGUUAUCGUGAAUAAAAAUACAAAGAGGCUGAUGAAGUCGUUGGAAAUAUUGUGGUAAUAUGCAAUGAUUGACAUUGCGUGUUGGAUUGUAAAUAACAUAUGUGUACGUAUCGCCGUUGGAUUGGUUUUCGCGAUAAUUUUACACGCAUGGAUGUGUGCGUUCUUACAUUCAGGCGAUUGAGGUGACGUUUCGAAUAUCAGUGAAGACCUUUCUGCGCUGCGAUAACGCGAUAUCCUUUGGCGGCCAAUCCCAUGAUUUGCUUGAAGAAAAUAUCCGCAGUUCCGCUGACCGGGGGAAGACAGAUUAAUGGACAUCUCACAGUUUUUGGCCCCGAAUCGUAGACCUUCCAUCCCUGAAAUAUGAAAAAAGCAAAAUAUCUUAACUGUCCGAACACUUGUUUGUCAAGCUGAAGCAAAAGAUUUGAUACACACCCGCCAUUAAUGAUUAAAUAGUUUUAAAA